CAUCUUGGUCCAUGUCAGUUAUUUCAUCAUCACUUCUAGUGUCAUCAGUGGUUUCAUCGUCACUUUCAAUGCUAGUUGUGGGCUUGUAACUACAGAUAACACUAACAGCCCUUAGAGAUUCCAUUUGUCCUGCUGUUUCAACCAAAAGGUGAUACAAGAUGGUGGCAGAGGAAUACCAAGUAAGUUAAACAGGACAAGUCUCCAAGCUGGGCCAAUGUUCUGUAUCAAGGUGAAAUUAACAUUCAAGAUCACUAUGGAAGGAUUUGGUUUUAUGAUUCCCACAGAUGAUAAUUUCUGCCUCUGGAAAUCUUUCUAAUAACACAUCUUGACAUGAAGCAUCUUGAUCCAUGACACAUUUUGUAAUGAUGAAACCACUUCGCUGAAGGUCAUCUAGCAUCUCAGAAAACAUAUCUCCCUCUGCCCCAGCACUCGUCCCCACCCAAUUUGCCAGUUUCCCCUUUUUAGUUCUAUGUGAGUAGGCUAUGACUUUUCCUGUUUUUAAAUCAUGAAUGGUCGCAGAUGAAUUGUUUGAAUAAUGACCUCUAGUCAAAUARAAUCCAUCAAAUUG